GAAGUCUUAAAGUUUGGAAUAGCAAUUAUACGACAAACCUUGUUCGGUUUUGCCAAUUUCCAAGCCAGCACUGGGUAAAGUUUGUCCUAUAAUCCCGAAACGACGACCAGCUAAUUGUG
rnacentral:precursor_RNA from 15 species